rnacentral:rRNA from 1 species
UGGGGAAUUUUGGACAAUGGGCGAAAGCCUGAUCCAGCAAUGCCGCGUGUGUGAAGAAGGCCUUCGGGUUGUAAAGCACUUUUGUCCGGAAAGAAAUCCUUGGCUCUAAUACAGUCGGGGGAUGACGGUACCGGAAGAAUAAGCACCGGCUAACUACGUGCCAGCAGCCGCGGUAAUACGUAGGGUGCAAGCGUUAAUCGGAAUUACUGGGCGUAAAGCGUGCGCAGGCGGUUUGCUAAGACCGAUGUGAAAUCCCCGGGCUCAACCUGGGAACUGCAUUGGUGACUGGCAGGCUAGAGUAUGGCAGAGGGGGUAGAAUUCCACGUGUAGCAGUGAAAUGCGUAGAGAUGUGGAGGAAUACCGAUGGCGAAGGCAGCCCCCUGGGCCAAUACUGACGCUCAUGCACGAAAGCGUGGGGGAGCAAAACAGGAUUAGAUACCCUGGUAGUCCACGCCCUAAAACGAUGUCAACUAGUUGUUGGGGAUUCAUUUCCUUAGUAACGUAGCUAACGCGUGAAGUUGACCGCCUGGGGAGUACGGUCGCAAGAUUAAAACUCAAAGGAAUUGAC